AUACGUAGGUGACAAGCGUUAUCCGGAUUUACUGGGCGUAAAGGGCGUGUAGGCGGUCUUGCAAGUCAGAAGUGAAAUUCCUGAGCUCAACUCGGGCGCUGCUUCUGAAACUGCAGGACUUGAGUGCUGGAGGGGAUAGCGGAAUUCCUAGUGGAGCGGUAAAAUGCGCAGAUAUUAGGAAGAACACCGGUGGCGAAGGCGGCUAUCUGGACAGUAACUGACGCUGAGGCGCGAAAGCGUGGGGAGCAAACAGGAUUAGAUACCCUGGUAGUCCACACUGUAAACGAUGAAUGCUAGGUGUAGGGGGUAUCGACCCCUUCUGUGCCGCAGUCAACACAAUAAGCAUUCCGCCUGGGGAGUACGGCCGCAAGGUUGAAACUCAAAUGAAUUGACGGGG
rnacentral:rRNA from 1 species